GGAAUUCUAAUCCAGUGAAAUUAAAAUCACAGUGAAAAAUUUUCAGAUCGAUGGUAUAUUAUGUCUUUUACAUCCUCUUGAAGCCUCUGGUUUGUAUGAGUUGGCUCAGGUUCAGUUGCAGUCUGGUAAUAUUGAAGUUGCUCUUGACUAUCUAUCUGAAGCUGUGCAAUUGUUUGCUCAAGUCUUUGGGCCACUACAUGUCAACAUAGCAAACUGUUAUAAAGUUAUUGCACGAAUUCAUCAUGCUCUAGGAGACAGUAAACUAGUAAGUGGUGCAUGUAACUACAUUUUAGUUUAAAUGAC
rnacentral:misc_RNA from 1 species